rnacentral:rRNA from 1 species
GACGAACGCUGGCGGCGUGCUUAACACAUGCAAGUCGAACGGUAAGGCCCUUCGGGGUACACGAGUGGCGGACGGGUGAGUAACACGUGGGUGAUCUGCCCUGCACUUCGGGAUAAGCCUGGGAAACUGGGUCUAAUACCGGAUAGGACUCCUGGCUUCAUGGUUGGGGGUGGAAAGCUUUUGCGGUGUGGGAUGGGCCCGCGGCCUAUCAGCUUGUUGGUGGGGUAAUGGCCUACCAAGGCGACGACGGGUAGCCGGCCUGAGAGGGUGACCAGUCACACUGGGACUGAGAUACGGCCCAGACUCCUACGGGAGGCAGCAGUGGGGAAUAUUGCACAAUGGGCGCAAGCCUGAUGCAGCGACGCCGCGUGAGGGAUGACGGCCUUCGGGUUGUAAACCUCUUUCAGCUAUGACGAAGCGCAAGUGACGGUAGUAGCAGAAGAAGGACCGGCCAACUACGUGCCAGCCGCCGCGGUAA